rnacentral:rRNA from 1 species
UCAGUCGACUCCUACGGGGAGGCAGCAGUGGGGAAUAUUGCACAAUGGGGGAAACCCUGAUGCAGCCAUGCCGCGUGUGUGAAGAAGGACCUUCGGGUUGUAAAGCACUUUCAGUAGGGAGGAAGGUAGUGUAGUUAACACCUGCACUAUUUGACGUUACCUACAGAAGAAGCACCGGCUAACUCCGUGCCAGCAGCCGCGGUAAUACGGAGGGUGCGAGCGUUAAUCGGAAUUACUGGGCGUAAAGCGCAUGCAGGCGGCCUGUUAAGUCAGAUGUGAAAGCCCGGGGCUUAACCUCGGAAUUGCAUUUGUAAACUGGCAGGCUAGAGUCUUGUAGAGGGGGGUAGGAAUUUCAGGUGUAGCGGUGAAAUGCGUAGAGAUCUGAAGGAAUACCAGUGGCGAAGGCGGCCCCCUGGACAAAGACUGACGCUCAGAUGCGAAAGCGUGGGGAGCAAACAGGAUUAGAUACCCUGGUAG